GCUCCUUCCGUCGUUCGUCGCUGCGUUUGCCACGGGAUGUACCUUUAGGAAAAGCGUAGCACGAGACGGUGUCUCAGGCAGGGCCAUUUCACAAGCAACACAUGCCUUCUACAGUAGAGUCUCUACGAUCUUAAACCUUACUACCGGACUAUAUCGACGCUUCUACUGAUCCACGACUGCAGCUUUCAAGCACCAAUGAAUACCGACAGGAAAUGCGGACCACCCCAACCAGCCGUCGUUGAACGUUCUUGAAGGAUUACCAGCGGGACUGUUGAAAGUCUUUGCGUCUGAACGCGAGGUAGAGUUUCCCAGCUGAUCGUUGGAUGGCGGUUGGGCCUGACAUGCUGGAUUCGAGAAACCUGAGACUCGCAGGGCUGCAAGAAGCGUCGAGCCCGAGAGCAGAAACCUGAAAUUCAAGGUGAAAGUCAGAAGUCAAAACGGUAGGAAGGUGGCCAUAACGUCUCGAGGUGAGGGGGUCCACGCGAGAAAAACGAAUUUUCGAGGACAGAACGCUGAACUUUGCGGCUUCGUGGCUAUAAAAAAGAAUGGAACACGCGAUCACUGCGAGUAAGACGAAAAUGGUGCUCCGAUGCCCCUCAGCCUUGCUGCAGAAGAUCACUUGUAAUGUCCUCUCGUCAGACGCCUGAACGGUGCGAGUCGGUUUCGGGAGCUGCGGUCCGGUGUUUAGACACCCGCCGAAAUAGGAAAAUUCAAGAGCCUUUGGAAAGCGGACUGCUCUAUUCAUGCCAAUGUGACGGUUCGUGUAUCGGAAAAGCAGCUGUCUCAACGCGUUUAUGGGUGUCACACGGAAUCGAACAACUGUUGGGCAUCUGCAGUCUCUUUUUUUUCCGCUUCCAAGUUCCCCUGUGUCAGCCUUGUCGAUAUCUUCUUGGACAUUCGUUCAGCUCACCCGCGGCAAAGCUCAUGCAGAGGACGGGACUUAUGUCGAAGCUUCUAUUUGUAGACGCCAUAUAAUGACGCUUAGAACAAUGGUGCGUAUCCGUGGUCUUGCUUCUGAGUAGUAGUUUUCUGUCGUCCUUUCUACUCGCGACAAGGACUCGAAUGAAUACAUUUACAAUGGCGCGUAUCCGUGGUCUUGCUUCUGAGUAGUAGUUUUCUGUCGUCCGUUCUACUCGCGACAAGGAUUCGAAUGAAUACAUUUACAGUGCCUCCUCACCAGCUUCACGGUAGACCAAAGAAGCCAGCCUGACUGCGCACGGCCUCACAAGAGCAGGCUCACGAGUCAAAGCACUCAAUAGCGGUACUGAGCGAUUUUUUUCACCGUGGUGGAUGUGUCUG
rnacentral:lncRNA from 1 species